GCCGCGGACGCUUUCGCAGCAAAUGUCGGCAGGGGCGGAGGUGCCGCCUGCUGGGGGGAGCAGGCGGCCCCCAAGGAGGCUGGAGACUGUGGCGUCUGCUGUUAUUUACUCAGUUUGCAACACUUGUCACUGAGGGAAGUAGUAUAGUUACUCAUAAAAGAGAAAUCCUGUGACUUUUAAUGCGAGAAUUAGUGAGGCAAAACGUUCUGGAGGAAACCUGCAGUUUUCACCACCACAGGAAGAUCAACAAAGUUACUCGUUGUACUGAAGUUGGGAGUUAAGCAGCAGCUAAACGAAAGAUCAAGGACUGCACAUUUAGGAACCUGAUGUUUGGCCUGCUUGAUUACUGCACCAGCUAGAUCUGUAAAGUACCACUACGAGCUUCCAGUCAGUGACUGCUACUUCAGUAACAAGUUAUUUUCAAUAUUUUCCACUUUCUCUGCAGGCAAAUACUGCAACUUCACCACGAUUACCUUUAAUGUCUGCUAACUGCCUACACUCAAGAAGGUAUUUUGGUAUGGAACGGAAGUAAGAGUGAUUUGUAAGCAGUGCAAAUAUGAUACCUGAGACCAGAGAGGAUGUGAUUUAAAAUCUUUUUUAUCUCCUGUUGGCUAUGGGAGGCAGAUUCUGCCUACACAAGCUGGUGUUUAUGGGUAUCGUUCAUCCAAAUUCCCCAUUUUAGCAUAUGGAUGUCAUUCAGAUCCUAAUUGCACCAGACGGGUGUUCAGUGCUGAAACGCCCUUGUGGAUCUAGCUGCUUAGCAUCAGCCUCUGCUAGAAUUUAGUAUCUGCUUUAGAAUCAUAGAAUGGUUUGGGUUGGAAGGGACCUCAAAGAUCAUCUAGUCCCAACCCCCCUGCCGUGGGCAGGGACACCUCCCACUAGACCCGGUUGCUCAAAGCCCCAUCCGGCCUGGCCUUUAGAUAUCUCCCUGUGAAAAUUCUGCCCAGACUUUUCAGGUACUCUUUCUUUAGAGUGCUAGUAUUAAUUCUUGUUAUUGUUGUGUUACAAUAUGUUACAUCUUGAACAAAGAAACAAACAGGUCACUGCUGUGUAUUAGUAGAAGUCUAACUGGUGGUGUUUUUCUUCAAUAGCACUUUUUUGUUCACUCAACUGUGUUCCACUCACUUUUGUUAGUUAGCAUAAGAAGGAAAUCUGAACCAGUCAAUGCAAUAAUACUGAGAUGACAAGCAGGCAAUUUACUUUGCUCUUGCUUUUGAUCUUAAAUAUAAAAAGAAUCUGAGAGAUGUGUGCACUCAAAUUUAAUUUAUUCAUUUUAGAUGUUUUUCUGAAGUAAUACUGUCAAAUUGCUAGCAAUCUCAACCCACCCCUCCUUUUAUUUUUCUAAAUUCUAGUGUCCCGGCAGGUCUCAUUUUUAUAGGCCGGUUUAAGGUAUCCUCAGGUCAGUUAAAAGCAUGCAGUUAUACACAAAAAGGUACAGUCCUUUCUCACUAGAAAAAAAAAAAAAAAGGUGGAGCACUGAUUCGGUUUUUAAUCCCUGGUUUCUGAAAUAGCAUUUGGGAAAAGCUUUGAUAUAAAAGCUGUAUGAAAUACUAAAAAACUACUGUGUAAAUAAAUGUCCAAAGGAUGGCACCUUCACAAGCAUUCAUUAUUUCAUUUUUUAUGAAAUACAGAGUAAUUUGAAUUUAAAUGUGACUGGAGGUUUCACAGUAUCCAUUAACAAAAAAAAAGCAGGAUCCAUUACUGCAAGACUCUAUUCAUACCUAAUGGAUUAUUCAUUAAAAGAGAAAAAAAGGGAUGAAAAUAAGAAUAAAGUAAAAAAUCUGCACAGCUAGUUACUAUUUAAAAAACAAACAAACAAAAAACAAACCACACACACUGUCUCUCUGAUCAUCAUCAUCUGAUGUCAGGCUGCGUAACAAUACAACAGUUACAGAGUAUCUGCAAGGGAAAAAAGACCUGAGCUGCAAAUGCAUUUUUUGUCAGGAGAGGACUGGAACCCAGAGACUCGGGAUGGGCACCAUCCAGUGCUGCGCAGCAGGUCUUGCUCUGUCUGUUCUAAAACUAUAUGCGGAUCAUAAAAACACCCAAACCCAAUGAGCUUCAUGCCUGCUCCAACACCAAACGUGAGUUUUCAGAAUCAAUCAACCUGCAAAAAAGUUAGUGUCUUUGUAAAAAGGUUUAAAUGCAGCAAUUGAUUCCGAUUUUGUAAACCAAAGAAGUCCUCCUGCCCGCAUGCAAUUUACCAUCAUUCUGCGAUCAAGCACAAAAAGUCCUUUUUAGUUCUGACAAAGCUGAAUCUGAGAGACCAAAAGAUUUACGGUUUCCAAAGAUCUGAUCAUAACUCUUUUUUUCCCUGUAGAAUAAUGCAUUCCUACUAAAGAAUGAAUAUCUAUCACAGUACAAAUUCCGUGAGCGCAAAGUAGCCUAUUUCACAUAAAUAAUUCAUGACAUAACAACCAACCAAAAUGUGGAUUGUUCAGGAGUCGUCUGUAGAGAUGUAAUACUUCCAUGCGUUGAUAAGCCUUAGACUCUUCAUUAGCUUGACUGUGAAAUGA